UACGUAGGGUGCGAGCGUUAAUCGGAAUUACUGGGCGUAAAGCGUGCGCAGGCGGUUCGUUGUGUCUGAUGUGAAAGCCCCGGGCUCAACCUGGGAAUGGCAUUGGAAACUGGCGAGCUAGAGUGUGGCAGAGGGGGGUGGAAUUCCGCGUGUAGCAGUGAAAUGCGUAGAGAUGCGGAGGAACACCGAUGGCGAAGGCAGCCCCCUGGGCUAGCACUGACGCUCAGGCACGAAAGCGUGGGGAGCAAACAGG
rnacentral:rRNA from 1 species